rnacentral:lncRNA from 1 species
UGAUGAUGAAUGAAUGAUUGUGAUGAUGAUGAUGAAUAAAUGGUUGUGGUAAUCGAAGAAUGAUUAUGCUUUAUUUUAUGUUAUCUAGUCCUGGGGGUAUUUAUACCCCACAAUUUAGCUGUUGUCUAGAGCCCGUGUCAGCUUCAUGAUAAUUUCAGUCAAGCCAUGAUUCUCAGAACUCAGUGAGCUAUAUAACUCUGUAUCCUCAGAUAA